CGAGCACCCCGAGUGGUCGGGACGAUUAUUGGGCCUAAAGCAUCCGUAGCCGGCCUUACAAGUCCCCCGUUAAAUCCAACUGCUCAACAGAUGGGCUGCGGAGGAUACUAUAAGACUAGGAGGCAGGAGAGGCAAGCGGUACUCAGUGGGUAGGGGUAAAAUCCGUUGAUCCAUUGAAGACCACCAGUGGCGAAGGCGGCUUGCCAGAAUGCGCUCGACGGUGAGGGAUGAAAGCUGGGGGAGCAAACCGGAUUAGAUACCCGGGUAGUCCCAGCUGUAAACGAUGCAGACUCGGUGAUGGACUAGCUUAAUGCUAGUCCAGUGCCGCAGGGAAGCCGUUAAGUCUGCCGCCUGGGUAGUACGGUCGCAAGACUG
rnacentral:rRNA from 1 species